rnacentral:rRNA from 1 species
AUUGAACGCUGGCGGCAUGCCUAACACAUGCAAGUCGAACGAGUUGCGGACGGGUGAGUAAUGUCUGGUAAACUGCCUGAUUGAGGGGGAUCACUACUUGUAACGGUCUCUAAUUCCCCAUUCCAUCAUAUUUGCCCCGCUGGGAUUAGCUUGUUGGUGGGGUAAUGGCUCACCAAGGCGACGAUCCCUAGCUGGUCUGAGAGGAUGACCAGCCACACGGGAACGGAGACACGGUCCAGACUCCUACGGGAGGCAGCAGUGGGGAAUAUUGCACAAUGGGCGCAAGCCUGAGACAGAAAGGCCGCGGGUAUGAAGAAGGCCUUCGGGUUGUAAAGUACUUUCAGCGGGGAGGCGUUACCCGAAGAAGAAGCACCGGCUAACUCCGUGCCAGCAGCCGCGGUAAUAC